AGGACGAACGCUGGCGGCGUGCUUAACACAUGCAAGUCGAGCGGAAAGACCCUUCGGGGUACUCGAGCGGCGAACGGGUGAGUAACACGUGAGCAACCUGCCCCUGGCUCUGGGAUAGCCUCCGGAAACGGGGAUUAAUACCGGACAUGACCUGCUGCCGCAUGGUGGCGGGUGGAAAGUUUUUCGGCCAGGGUGGGGCUCGCGGCCUAUCAGCUUGUUGGGGGGGUGACGGCCCACCAAGGCGACGAC
rnacentral:rRNA from 1 species